AGGCGAGACGGGAUCGGUCAUGCUGGGUGGUUGCUGCUCGGCCCCUGCGCCGGUUGGUUUGGGAGCAGCAGCGGCUUCGUGAUGUAGGCACACAAUGCCCACUGAUGAGCUUUGCCUAGUUGACAAAUACCACUUUACAAGAAGUUGAUACGACAGUUCUUGAAUGUGGAGAAAAUUGGUCUGAAUGAAUAGAAGACUACAGUUUCUGUACAUAUGGCCUGUGUACUAUGAUUUGUACAGAAUUUCUGCAGCUCAAGUUUGGCAGCUUUUCUUCCACCAGAAGAGUGUUCUGGAAGAAAUAUACAGGUUUUAUCUUCACAGGAUCUUUCAAGUAAAUUUCUUACACUGGUACUGUCACAGUAUGCCUUUUUCCG
rnacentral:lncRNA from 1 species